rnacentral:rRNA from 1 species
UACGGAGGGGACUAGCGUUGUUCGGAAUUACUGGGCGUAAAGCGCACGUAGGCGGAUUUGUAAGUCAGGGGUGAAAUCCCGGGGCUCAACCCCGGAACUGCCUUUGAUACUGCGAGUCUCGAGUCCGGAAGAGGUGAGUGGAAUUCCUAGUGUAGAGGUGAAAUUCGUAGAUAUUAGGAGGAACACCGGUGGCGAAGGCGGGUCUCUGGGCCGAUACUGACGCUGAGGAGCGAAAGCGUGGGGAGCGAACAGG